AUUGAACGCUGGCGGCAUGCCUUACACAUGCAAGUCGAACGGCAGCACGGAGCUUGCUCUGGUGGCGAGUGGCGAACGGGUGAGUAAUAUAUCGGAACGUACCCAAGAGUGGGGGAUAACGUAGCGAAAGUUACGCUAAUACCGCAUACGAUCUAAGGAUGAAAGCAGGGGAUCGCAAGACCUUGUUCUCCUCGAGCGGCCGAUAUCUGAUUAGCUAGUUGGGGGGGUAAAGGCCCACCAAGGCAUCGACCAGUAGCUGGUCUGAGAGGACGACCAGCCACACUGGAACUGAGACACAGUCCAGACUCCUACGGGAGGCAGCAGUGGGGAAUUUUGGACAAUGGGGGCAACCCUGAUCCAGCAAUGCCGCGUGAGUGAAGAAGGCCUUCGGGUUGUAAAGCUCUUUUGUCAGGGAAGAAAAGGUUGUGGCUAAUAUCCACGGCUCAUGACGGUACCUGAAGAAUAAGCACCGGCUAACUACGUGCCAGCCGCCGCCGUAA
rnacentral:rRNA from 1 species